UACGGGGGGAGCAAGCGUUGUUCGGAUUUACUGGGCGUAAAGGGCGCGUAGGCGGCCAGCACAAGUCAGUUGUGAAUUCUCCGAGCUUAACUCGGAAAGGUCAACUGAUACUGUGCGGCUAGAGUGCGGAAGGGGCAACUGGAAUUCUUGGUGUAGCGGUGAAAUGCGUAGAGAUCGGGAGGAACACCCGUGGCGAAGGCGGCCAUCUGGACCAGCACUGACGCUGAGGCACGAAAGCGUGGGGAGCAAACAGG
rnacentral:rRNA from 1 species